AUAGCGUAUAUUAAAGUUGUUGCAGUUAAAAAGCUCGUAGUUGAACUUCAGGCUUGGUUGGGCGGUCCGCCUCACGGCGUGUACUGUCUGACUGGGUCUUACCUCUUGGUGAGCCGGCGUGGCCUUUAUUGGUUGCGUCGGGGAACCAGGACUUUUACCUUGAGAAAAUUAGAGUGUUCAAAGCAGGCCUAUGUCCGAAUACAUUAGCAUGGAAUAAUAGAAUAGGACGUGCGAUCCUAUUUUGUUGGUUUCUAGAGUCGCCGUAAUGAUUAAUAGGGAUAGUUGGGGGCAUUGGUAUUGAGUCGCUAGAGGUGAAAUUCUUGGAUUGACUCAAGACCGACUAUUG
rnacentral:rRNA from 1 species